rnacentral:rRNA from 1 species
ACAGGGAUUGCCCUAGUAACGGCGAGUGAAGCGGCAACAGCUCAAAUUUGAAAUCUGGCUCUUUUAGAGUCCGAGUUGUAAUUUGCAGAGGGCGCUUUGGCUUUGGCAGCGGUCCAAGUUCCUUGGAACAGGACGUCACAGAGGGUGAGAAUCCCGUACGUGGUCGCUGGCUAUUGCCGUGUAAAGCCCCUUCGACGAGUCGAGUUGUUUGGGAAUGCAGCUCUAAAUGGGAGGUACAUUUCUUCUAAAGCUAAAUAUUGGCCAGAGACCGAUAGCGCACAAGUAGAGUGAUCGAAAGAUGAAAAGCACUUUGGAAAGAGAGUCAAACAGCACGUGAAAUUGUUGAAAGGGAAGCGCUUGCAGCCAGACUUGCUUGCAGUUGCUCAUCCGGGCUUUUGCCCGGUGCACUCUUCUGCAGGCAGGCCAGCAUCAGUUUGGGCGGUAGGAUAAAGGUCUCUGUCACGUACCUCCUUUCGGGGAGGCCUUAUAGGGGAGACGACAUACUACCAGCCUGGACUGAGGUCCGCGCAUCUGCUAGGAUGCUGGCGUAAUGGCUGUAAGCGGCCCGUCUUGAAACACGGACCAAGGAGUCUAACAUCUAUGCGAGUGUUUGGGUGUCAAGCCCGAGCGCGUAAUGAAAGUGAACGGAGGUGGGAACCCGCAAGGGUGCACCAUCGACCGAUCCUGAUGUCUUCGGAAGGAUUUGAGUAAGAGCAUGGCUGUUGGGACCCGAAAGAUGGUGAACUAUGCUUGAAUAGGGUGAAGCCAGAGGAAACUCUGGUGGAGGCUCGCAGCGGUUCUGACGUGCAAAUCGAUCGUCAAAUUUGGGCAUAGGGGCGAAAGACUA